rnacentral:rRNA from 1 species
GCAGCCGCGGUAAUACGUAGGUCCCGAGCGUUGCGCGAUGUUACUGGGCGUAAAGCGUCCGUAGCCGGUUUCGUAAGCGGAUUGUCAAAGCCCGAAGCUCAACUUCGGCAAGGCAUUCCGAACUGCGUUACUUGAGUCCUGUUCAGGUAGGCGGAGUUCCCGGUGUAGCGGUGAAAUGCGUAGAUAUCGGGAGGAACACCAGUGGCGAAGGCGGCCUACUGGGACGGUACUGACGGUCAUGGACGAAAGCUGGGGGAGCAAACCGGAUUAGAUACCCGGGUAGUCCCAGCCGUAAACGAUGGAUGUUAGGUGUAGUGAUAACUUCGCUGCACCCCAGCUAACGCGUUAAACAUCCCGCCUGGGGAGUACGGGCGCAAGCCUGAAACUCAAAGGAAUUGGCGGGGGCCCGCACAACCGGUGGAGCGUCUGGUU